CCUACGGGUGGCUGCAGUGGGGAAUAUUGCUCAAUGGGCGUAACCCUGAUCCAGCGACGCCGCGUGAGGGAAGAAGUAUCUCGGUAUGUUAAGCUCUAUCAGCAGGGGAGAAAAUGACGCUACCUGACUAAGAAGCCCCGGCUAACUACGUGCCAGCAUCCGCGGGCAUCCUUACGGGGCACGCGGUAUCCGGAUUUACUGGGGGGAAAGGGGGCGUAAACGGGGCUGCAAGUCCGGUGUGAAAGCCCAGGGGUUAACCAUGGAACUGCCGUGGAAACCGUGGAGCUUGAGUGCGGGAGGGGCAGGCGGAAUGCGUGGUGUAGCGGUGAAAUGCGUAGAUAUUAGGAGGAACACCGACGGCGAAGGCGGCAUGCUGGAGCGUAACUGACGUUGAGGCUCGAAAGCGUGGGGAGCAAACAGGAUUAGAUACCCGUGUAGUC
rnacentral:rRNA from 1 species